UACGGAGGAUCCGAGCGUUAUCCGGAUUUAUUGGGUUUAAAGGGUGCGCAGGCGGGAGAUUAAGUCGGUGGUGAAAUUUUGCAGCUUAACUGUAACAGGGCCAUUGAUACUGGUUUUCUUGAGUGUGGAUGAAGUAAGCGGAAUUUGUGGUGUAGCGGUGAAAUGCAUAGAUAUCACGAGGAACUCCGAUCGCGUAGGCAGCUUACUAAACCAUAACUGACGCUCAUGCACGAAGGCGUUGGGAUCAACCAGG
rnacentral:rRNA from 1 species